UGGUCUUUCAAAUUGUCACUUACCUACAAGUUCCUCUUUGAUUGUUGUCCUUACCAACGAUCCUUGCUUUCGAUUUUUGCAUGACCUAUCCACGUCGGCCUUCUGUGUGUCAUAUGUCAUGUAUUUUAUUGUAUCCGGUCUUUGAAAGAGUUCACCAUUACGUCUAUUUUUUCAUUUACAGAGUGAUCGUCUAUACAGGAGCAAACAAUAUAUUUUUUUAGAGAAUUUCUCACUCGAAUAUGUACUU